AAACAAAUAAAGUAAAGCUCAUUGAGAUCUUCAAGGAAAGCCGUAUUCUUCUUCUUGUUAAUCCUGAGAUUUUUCUACAGUUCAUCUUGAUCGCCAUUUUGCUGGGAACAAAGCGAACUCCAUUUCACCAUUUCUCCAACCAUAAUUGAGCAAAAGAGAUGAGAGAGACAAGAGAUGGAAUGAAGGCUGACAGGUUUUCAAGAUCUGCAUCUGCCGACUCUGAUCCGCUUGUUCUUGACAUAGAUGAUUUUAAGGGGGCUUUCUCCUUUGAUGGCUUGUUUGGUAACUUGGUGAAUGAGAUA
rnacentral:misc_RNA from 1 species